UGUUUUUUAAUGAAUGAAUAUUGCAAAAAUGCUCAUUUAAUGCUUGAACUAGGUAUUGCAGUCUAAAUUCAAAAUAUUAGAGAGGGGUUUUUUCACCCGGCCCAUCCUCCUUCAGACUUGACGUACAAUCAUUUUGACAGAUUGACUACACCAACAGGAACAAGCCCACUGGAUGAUGAAUGAAAUGAAAUGCGCUGUGUUUUACACCAACUGGCAACCCAGGGUGCUGAAAUACAAUUGAGUAAACUUGUUGAACAAAGGCCUCCUAUAGCAAAAUCGAUGCGUUUUUGUAAGAAUAAUAUCCAUGUUCAAAACGUACUAAUUACUUCGAUCUAGCUUGCGUUCACUGUUUUAAAUGGAAGCAGCUCCAUGUAUUUUAAAACAAAUUUUUUAUUUGAUUGGACCUAGUUUGGCGUCUUUUCUGAAUAAAUGUUUAGUUUCAGAGACUA